rnacentral:rRNA from 1 species
UUAAGCGACUAAGCGUACACGGUGGAUGCCCUGGCAGUCAGAGGCGAUGAAGGACGUGCUAAUCUGCGAAAAGCGUCGGUAAGGUGAUAUGAACCGUUACAGCCGGCGAUGUCCGAAUGGGGAAACCCAGUGUGAUUCGUCACACUAUCGUUAACUGAAUACAUAGGUUAACGAGGCGAACCGGGGGAACUGAAACAUCUAAGUACCCCGAGGAAAAGAAAUCAACCGAGAUUCCCCCAGUAGCGGCGAGCGAACGGGGAGCAGCCCAGAGUCUGAAUCAGCUUGUGUGUUAGUGGAACGGUCUGGAAAGUCCGACGGUACAGGGUGAUAGUCCCGUACACCAAAAUGCACAGGCUGUGAACUCGAAGAGUAGGGCGGGACACGUGGUAUCCUGUCUGAAUAUGGGGGGACCAUCCUCCAAGGCUAAAUACUCCUGACUGACCGAUAGUGAACCAGUACCGUGAGGGAAAGGCGAAAAGAACCCCGGCGAGGGGAGUGAAAAAGAACCUGAAACCGUGUACGUACAAGCAGUGGGAGCACCUUCGGGUGUGACUGCGUACCUUUUGUAUAAUGGGUCAGCGACUUAUAUUCUGUAGCAAGGUUAACCGUAUAGGGGAGCCGCAGGGAAACCGAGUCUUAACUGGGCGUUAAGUUGCAGGGUAUAGACCCGAAACCCGGUGAUCUAGCCAUGGGCAGGUUGAAGGUUGGGUAACACUAACUGGAGGACCGAACCGACUAAUGUUGAAAAAUUAGCGGAUGACUUGUGGCUGGGGGUGAAAGGCCAAUCAAACCGGGAGAUAGCUGGUUCUCCCCGAAAGCUAUUUAGGUAGCGCCUCGUGAAUUCAUCUUCGGGGGUAGAGCACUGUUUCGGCUAGGGGGUCAUCCCGACUUACCAACCCGAUGCAAACUACGAAUACCGAAGAAUGUUAUCACGGGAGACACACGGCGGGUGCUAACGUCCGUCGUGAAGAGGGAAACAACCCAGACCGCCAGCUAAGGUCCCAAAGUCAUGGUUAAGUGGGAAACGAUGUGGGAAGGCACAGACAGCCAGGAUGUUGGCUUAGAAGCAGCCAUCAUUUAAAGAAAGCGUAAUAGCUCACUGGUCGAGUCGGCCUGCGCGGAAGAUGUAACGGGGCUAAACCAUGCACCGAAGCUGCGGCAGCGACACUAUGUGUUGUUGGGUAGGGGAGCGUUCUGUAAGCCUGCGAAGGUGACCUGUGAGGGUUGCUGGAGGUAUCAGAAGUGCGAAUGCUGACAUAAGUAACGAUAAAGCGGGUGAAAAGCCCGCUCGCCGGAAGACCAAGGGUUCCUGUCCAACGUUAAUCGGGGCAGGGUGAGUCGACCCCUAAGGCGAGGCCGAAAGGCGUAGUCGAUGGGAAACAGGUUAAUAUUCCUGUACUUGGUGUUACUGCGAAGGGGGGACGGAGAAGGCUAUGUUAGCCGGGCGACGGUUGUCCCGGUUUAAGCAUGUAGGCUGGUUGUCCAGGCAAAUCCGGAUAAUCAAGGCUGAGGUGUGAUGACGAGGCACUACGGUGCUGAAGUAACAAAUGCCCUGCUUCCAGGAAAAGCCUCUAAGCAUCAGGUAACAUCAAAUCGUACCCCAAACCGACACAGGUGGUCAGGUAGAGAAUACCAAGGCGCUUGAGAGAACUCGGGUGAAGGAACUAGGCAAAAUGGUGCCGUAACUUCGGGAGAAGGCACGCUGGUGUGUAGGUGAAGUCCCUGCGGAUGGAGCUGAGACCAGUCGAAGAUACCAGCUGGCUGCAACUGUUUAUUAAAAACACAGCACUGUGCAAACACGAAAGUGGACGUAUACGGUGUGACGCCUGCCCGGUGCCGGAAGGUUAAUUGAUGGGGUUAUCCGUAAGGAGAAGCUCUUGAUCGAAGCCCCGGUAAACGGCGGCCGUAACUAUAACGGUCCUAAGGUAGCGAAAUUCCUUGUCGGGUAAGUUCCGACCUGCACGAAUGGCGUAAUGAUGGCCAGGCUGUCUCCACCCGAGACUCAGUGAAAUUGAACUCGCUGUGAAGAUGCAGUGUACCCGCGGCAAGACGGAAAGACCCCGUGAACCUUUACUAUAGCUUGACACUGAACAUUGAGCCUUGAUGUGUAGGAUAGGUGGGAGGCUUUGAAGCGUGGACGCCAGUCUGCGUGGAGCCAACCUUGAAAUACCACCCUUUAAUGUUUGAUGUUCUAACGUUGGCCCCUUACCGGGGUUGCGGACAGUGUCUGGUGGGUAGUUUGACUGGGGCGGUCUCCUCCCAAAGCGUAACGGAGGAGCACGAAGGUUAGCUAAUCCUGGUCGGACAUCAGGAGGUUAGUGCAAUGGCAUAAGCUAGCUUGACUGCGAGCGUGACGGCGCGAGCAGGUGCGAAAGCAGGUCAUAGUGAUCCGGUGGUUCUGAAUGGAAGGGCCAUCGCUCAACGGAUAAAAGGUACUCCGGGGAUAACAGGCUGAUACCGCCCAAGAGUUCAUAUCGACGGCGGUGUUUGGCACCUCGAUGUCGGCUCAUCACAUCCUGGGGCUGAAGUAGGUCCCAAGGGUAUGGCUGUUCGCCAUUUAAAGUGGUACGCGAGCUGGGUUUAGAACGUCGUGAGACAGUUCGGUCCCUAUCUGCCGUGGGCGCUGGAGAAUUGAGGGGGGCUGCUCCUAGUACGAGAGGACCGGAGUGGACGCAUCACUGGUGUUCGGGUUGUCAUGCCAAUGGCACUGCCCGGUAGCUAAAUGCGGAAGAGAUAAGUGCUGAAAGCAUCUAAGCACGAAACUUGCCCCGAGAUGAGUUCUCCCUGAGACUUUAAGUCUCCUGAAGGAACGUUAAAGACGAUGACGUUGAUAGGCCGGGUGUGUAAGCGCAGCGAUGCGUUGAGCUAACCGGUACUAAUGAACCGUGAGGCUUAACCU